UUGUCUUUUAAAUAAAGACCUGUAUGAACGGCUAAAUGAGGAUAAACCUGUCUCUUAUAACUAAUCAGUGAAACUGAUCUUCCAGUACAAAAGCUGGAAUUAUCACAUAAGACGAGAAGACCCUGUGGAGCUUAAAACAAACCGCUAAACAAACUCCUAACUGUAUUAGCGCGCGUUUUCAGUUGGGGCGACUUCGGAAUAAAAAACAACUUCCGAGCACAGAACUACAACUUCUAACCGAGGCAAACAAGCCAAAGCACAAAAUCGACCCGGCCCUGCCGAUUAACGAACCAAGUUACCCCAGGGAUAACAGCGCAAUCUUCUUCGAGAGCCCCUAUCAACAAGAAGGUUUACGACCUCGAUGUUGGAUCAGGACACCCAAAUGGUGCAGCCGCUAUUAAAGGUUCGUUUGUUCAACGAUU
rnacentral:rRNA from 1 species